GAUGAACGCUGGCGGCGUGCCUAAUACAUGCAAGUCGAGCGAACAGACGAGGAGCUUGCUCCUCUGACGUUAGCGGCGGACGGGUGAGUAACACGUGGAUAACCUACCUAUAAGACUGGGAUAACUUCGGGAAACCGGAGCUAAUACCGGAUAAUAUAUUGAACCGCAUGGUUCAAUAGUGAAAGACGGUUUUGCUGUCACUUAUAGAUGGAUCCGCGCCGCAUUAGCUAGUUGGUAAGGUAACGGCUUACCAAGGCAACGAUGCGUAGCCGACCUGAGAGGGUGAUCGGCCACACUAGAACGGAGACACGGUCCAGGCGCCUACGGGAGGCAGCAGUAGGGAAUCUUCCGCAAUGGGCGAAAGCCUGACGGAGCAACGGCGCGUGAGUGAUGAAGGUCUUCGGAUCGUAAAACUCUGUUAUUAGGGAAGAACAAAUGUGUAAGUAACUAUGCACGUCUUGACGGUACCGAAUCAGAAAGCCACGGCUAACUACGUG
rnacentral:rRNA from 1 species